GAGCCGUGUGAUAAGCACAGAGCGAACUAUUCUUUCGCCUUUUACUAAAGAAUAACGUGCGCUUGUCAAUUUAUAGCAGCAUACGCCUAUUUUUGGAGGGGUUUUUCCUUUGUGAAACU